rnacentral:rRNA from 1 species
GACGAACGCUGGCGGCGCGCCUAACACAUGCCAGUCGAACGAGCGAGCGGAGGUUUCCUUUCUCAAGCGAGUGGCGAACGGGUGAGUAACGCGUGAGUAACCUGCCUCAAAGAGGGGGACAACAUUUGGAAACGACUGCUAAUACCGCAUAAGCCCACGACCCGGCAUCGGGUCGAGGGAAAAGGGGCAAUCCGCUUUGAGAUGGCCUCGCGUCCGAUUAGCUAGUUGGUGAGGUAAUGGCCCACCAAGGCGACGAUCGGUAGCCGGAAAGAGAGGUUGAACGGACACAAUGGGAGUGAGAAACGGAACAGAAUACUACGGGAGGCAGGAGUGGGGAAUAGUGCAAAAUGGGGGAAAACAUGAUGAAGCGACGACGGGAGGAGGAAGAAGGUAUGCGGAUUGUAAAAUACUGUUGUUGAGGAAGAUAAUGACGGUACUAAAAAAGGAAGUGACGGCUAACUACGUG